GAUGAAGAACGUAGCGAAAUGCGAUAAGUAAUGUGAAUUGCAGAAUUCAGUGAAUCAUCGAAUCUUUGAACGCACAUUGCGCCCGCCAGUAUUCUGGCGGGCAUGCCUGUCCGAGCGUCAUUUCAACCCUCGAACCCCUCCGGGGGGUCGGCGUUGGGGACCUCGGGAGCCCCUAAGACGGGAUCCCGGCCCCGAAAUACAGAGGCGGUCUCGCCGCAGCCUCUCCUGCGCGGUAGUUUGCACAACUCGCACCGGGAGCGCGGCGCGUCCACGUCCGUAAAACACCCAACUUCUGAAAUGUUGACCUCGGAUCAGGUAGGAAUACCCGCUGAACUUAAGCAUAUCAAUAAGCGGAGGA
rnacentral:misc_RNA from 1 species